AACGAACGCUGGCGGCAUGCCUAACACAUGCAAGUCGAACGAUGCUUUCGGGCAUAGUGGCGCACGGGUGCGUAACGCGUGGGAAUCUGCCCUUGGGUUCGGAAUAACAGUGAGAAAUUGCUGCUAAUACCGGAUGAUGUCUUCGGACCAAAGAUUUAUCGCCCAGGGAUGAGCCCGCGUAGGAUUAGCUAGUUGGUGGGGUAAUGGCCUACCAAGGCGACGAUCCUUAGCUGGUCUGAGAGGAUGAUCAGCCACACUGGGACUGAGACACGGCCCAGACUCCUACGGGAGGCAGCAGUGGGGAAUAUUGGACAAUGGGCGCAAGCCUGAUCCAGCAAUGCCGCGUGAGUGAUGAAGGACUUAGGGUUGUAAAGCUCUUUUACCCGGGAUGAUAAUGACAGUACCGGGAGAAUAAGCUCCGGCUAACUCCGUG
rnacentral:rRNA from 1 species